CACCCCGGAUAUUUUCUGCAGAUUCUAUGCCAGCCCUGAAAUUGAGGGUACCUGAACAGCAAGGAAACACCUCUGAGUGCGGCAUAUUUGUAUUACUCUAUGCAGAGUAUUUUCUGAAGGAUCCUCCCAAAGAACUAAUCAAUGAGCUUGACUGUACGUCCUGAUUUACACUGGCUGAUGCAUUUUCAAGGCGUGCACAGAUCAGGGACAAAAUGCAAAGUAGUUUAGAAGCACAGAGAGGAGAAGCAGAGGAAAACAAAGCAGAAGAAAGAGAAAGUGAAGAGGAGCAACUGGUUGAUGAGAGAGAGCAUGAGGAAAACAUAGCCAAGAAAAGAAAAUUAGAAGGUAGAGAGGAAGAAGACAUACCUAAAGAAAAAGAAGAGUACAAAACAGCUCAGGGAAGAAACUAUACAGUUCUGGGAAGGCUGUCAGUGCCAGGCUCCAAAAGAAAGUACACGGUCACUCAAGCUGAACUGAA